GUUUGUGACCUGUAACUUUCAAAAUAAACUGAAAUCCUACACAUAUUAUGCACUUUGUAAAUCAAGAGACAUAAAUUAAUUGAUUUUGAAUUACUUUUCCUAUGCUGGACAUAUUAUGCACACAUUAUUAUUGCCAAAACUUGGGGAAAAAAGCGUUUUUUUUCCCCCACAUUAUUUUGCAUUUUUUGGUAAUAAAUGAAAAUUUAUAUAUGUAUGUGUCACAUCAAAUUAAAGCCCUUUU